UACGUAGGGCGCAAGCGUUGUCCGGAAUUAUUGGGCGUAAAGCGCACGUAGGCGGUUCGUUAUGUCAGAUGUGAAAGCCCUUGGCUCAACUGAGGAAGUGCAUCUGAAACUGGCGAGCUAGAGUAUGUAAGAGGGUCGCGGAAUUCCCGGUGUAGAGGUGAAAUUCGUAGAUAUUCGGAGGAACACCAGAAGCGAAGGCGGCCAACUGGCCCGAUACUGACGCUGAGGCGCGAAAGCGUGGGGAGCAAACAGG
rnacentral:rRNA from 1 species